CAGAAAAAGGAUUCGGCAGUGCUCACACUUGAAGGCUUUCACGGGCUCACCACUCUCGCCCACCACCCGGAGCACUUCCUUGGAGGGGCCUGGGGUGCCCCGUAGUAACCCCUCCUGCGGCUUGGGGUCCUCUUUGGCGUAGGCAGGACUGGGCCGGCCCACCACAAUGGUGGGAGGUGGCUGGGGUGGGGGACCCUGAGGGAGGGAUACCACCCCCCCAACCCGAUCUUCGUGGUUGCUCUCUGUAUCUGUGGAGUCUUGGCAGCCAUUGCUGGGGGAUGCCCCAGGGUCGGUCAGGGGGCCUCGGGCCCGGUAGAGGAGGGGACCUCCAUCGGCCAGGUCCUCGGGUCCCUCACCUGCUUCUCGGGACCCUGGAAGCUCCAGUCGGCCGGGGAGGGGCUGCAUCUGGGUGUAGACAGAGCUGAUGACGGGUGUGAGUUCUGAGAUGCAAUUGGUAGGUGGAAGGCGGAGGGGACGCAGAUGCUCUGCCCCCACAAAGGCCAGAGAACCUCCAAAGCCAGGCUCCAGGCCAUGAUGUGCUACCAACUCCACAUCCUUCUCAUAGCCACCCGAGUUCACAUCAUAGGGGAUGUCUGAGAGGCUGAAACGCAUCUGCUUUUCACCUGUGGAGAAGAGGACCUCAGCAGAGCUGGGUUUGGAGAAUUCCCAAGCUCCUCCAGGAUUACUUCUUUGUUUUCUUACCAUGGGGAUGGCUGUAAUAUUAUUUACCACCCCUCAUUUACUUCCCUCAAGGUCAGGUCCUCUUUGGGGCCACUCCCCAACUCCAGGCUAUAAUCUUAGGGAAGGACUCAGUCCCAGCCCACUGAUCUUUAAAACUUCCUUCAUUACUCUUUAUAAAGCUAGAGAGUGAACAAUCAAGGCCAGAUGGGUGGACCCCACACCCACACCUCCUCCCUCUGACACUAAGAGUCAUUCUCUCAGUUUCCACAGGCUGAAGUCCUUGCUAUUCUCAAAACCUGGAAGAACCUGAGCUCCCUGACCCCUUCCUCUUACAACUACCACAAGACCCCUCAACACUGACCCCUCUCCAUCCUCCUGAGGAUUCUUACCUACGAACUUCUGGGGGGUGGAACGCUUGCGUUUGGUGAGGCUGUUGGCCAGCCGAUCAAUGAAGGUUGGCCGCUCAGAGGAUGAGUGCAACAUGGAGUCUGGCACCAUCUCCAGAUCGCAUCCCUUUGUGAAGAGGGGGUAGAUGCUGGAAUCAUCCUGGUCCUGCACUCCCUCUGACCCAGCCCUCAGCUCCCCCACAGGCCUGCCUACAGCCCUACCUGCUUGGCCAGCCAGAGCUUGGGCUUCAGUGCUGAGACUCUGUAGGUAGUUGUGGCACCGCUCUUUGUGCUCCUCCAGGGUACUCUGCUGUUUGUAGCUCCGGCCACAGUAGUUACACUUGUAGGGCUUGCCUACCGUGGGAGAGGAGACUGUGGAGGAGACGGGAGACGGAUGGCAUGAGUUACUUCUCCCUGUACCCUGGCUCUACAAAACCAUCCAGGAGCAAAGGCUCAUGGGCUUGAGGAGAAAGGGAUGUCGCUCAGAUUUUAUUUUUAAGUAAUCUGGGGCUAGAACUUACAGCCCCAAGAUCAAGAGUCACAUGCUUCACCAGCUGAGCCAGCCAGGCGCCUCUACUGCUUAUUUUUCUGUCCCUCUACACUGAGAUACCAAGAGAGCCCCAGAACAACUAUCACUGAUAGAGAAAUUCCGAGAAGAGAAAAAGAAUAAAAGGACAGAGAGGAGAAUAAAGGAGAUGAGUAAAAGGAACAGAAACAACAACUUUGAGGGCCUUUAAAAUUUUUUUAAAAAUAAAGAACAAGUUAUAAAGAUUUUUUCUGGGGUGUCUGGCUGGCUUAGUUGGGAGAGUAUGCGACCCUUCAUCUCAGUGUUGUGAGUUCAAGCCCCAUGGUGACUGUACAGAUUACUUAAAGAAAAAAAAGAAGAUUUUGUUUCUACUGAAGAAGUCAGGAAAACUGAGAUGGACACUUCAUUUAAAGACAACUUUUGAGAGAUGAUAUUUGUGACAGGAGAAGGAAAGUGAGAGAAACAAGAGUUUCAGUAUCCUUGUCAGCAAAACAAGGAUAAUGCCAUCUACCUUAGAGGCGUUAUGAGGAUCACAUGAAAAAACAAGCAAAAUGCUUUGUGGAUUAUAAAGCCUGAAUCAACGAUGACCUUUCUCCCUGUUUCUCUACUCACCUCCAAGCAAAGUGUCAUCAUCGAGGCAGCUGAGCUCUAGAGGAAGGUCACUCUGCCUGUUUCAAAGACUUGUCAAUGGGCUGUAGGCAGUAAGGGAAUUUAAUUUUUCAUUUGCCUUUGUUUCCCACAUCACCAUGGUAAGCACUUAAGCCCCUUUCCUUUGUUCUUGGGUAGCCAGGAGUGUCUGAGGAAUAGCACAUAUAUUCCACCUGGGGUGGGGGGGAGUGGCCCAGGAGGCUAGCUUGUACUUUGUCCUCAGCUUAACUUAUGCUCCCUCAUCACCUUGUGCCCUUGUCAGCCUGGUGCCCAGUGCUGACUUCUGCAAGCUCAGUAGCUGCAUCUUGUUCACUCUACCUUUUUCUAGGCCUGAGGGGAAGAGCAUCACUGCCUGACAUCUACAGGAAGGAAGGCUGAGGCUGGGCAGGCCAGGGUGGAGAGGAAAAUGGGGGCCUCAAAAGGGAGGUGGUUCAGGACAGAUGCUCUUCCCUAUUGUUCCUCUCCAGAGCCCCCAGCACCAGGUUUGGGAUCUGUAGGAAGGGCAGCUGGAAUUGUCCCUGAGUCUAAUGAUAAUAAAAGUGAUCAUAAUGACAGCUGCUAACACUUAUUGAGUGUUAUUGAGUGCUUAUUUUGUGCUAGGUAUUGUUCUGUGCACUUUAUGUGAACAACCCCGUUGAAGCAGGUGCCAAUAUUGUCUUAAUUUUUCAGAUGAGAAAACUGAGGCCCAAAAGAGGCUGUGUUACUUGUCCAAGGUGACAUAGCUGGUAGUGGUGGAACCCGGAUGGAACAUAAACAGACCUGGGACCUGAAGUGUAGCCCGGUGAUUAUUAGCAAGACAGGACUUUUCACCUGCCUGGGAGUGAGCAGUUCAGGUACUGCAAGUAAACCAAACCCACAGCAUCAUCCUCUCCUGUCUGUACCUCCAUGAACUGAAUGAAAGCGACACAAAAACAUGUUGGAGUCACAUAGCUGCUUCUGUGGUCUAUCGGGGCUUUGCAUAACUGGGGACAGGAAAAAAGUAAAUGGUUGAGGGAAGAGAUGGAAUAAGGCAUUGUCUGCAGCCUGACUACGUGCCCCUUUCCAGGAAACAGACCUUGACAUUGAGCAAUCUGCAGCUCUGAAAUGAUCUUUGGGUCAACCUAGUACUCUCUGAAGGAAACCCACCAACCUUUUCUCAGCUCAUGUGUCUGUCUUUAUAGCAGAAAGGUCUGACUCAUUUUUUUCACCAGGCUGUAG